rnacentral:rRNA from 1 species
ACGAACGCUGGCGGCGUGCCUAAUACAUGCAAGUAGAACGCUGAAGGAGGAGCUUGCUUCUCUGGAUGAGUUGCGAACGGGUGAGUAACGCGUAGGUAACCUGCCUGGUAGCGGGGGAUAACUAUUGGAAACGAUAGCUAAUACCGCAUAAUAGUAGAUGUUGCAUGACAUUUGCUUAAAAGGUGCAAUUGCAUCACUACCAGAUGGACCUGCGUUGUAUUGGGUAGUUGGUGGGGUAACGGCGCACCAAGGCAACGAUACAUAGCCGACCUGAGAGGGUGAUCGGCCACACUGGGACUGAGACACGGCCCAGACUCCUACGGGAGGCAGCAGUAGGGAAUCUUCGGCAAUGGACGGAAGUCUGACCGAGCAACGCCGCGUGAGUGAAGAAGGUUUUCGGAUCGUAAAGCUCUGUUGUAAGAGAAGAACGAGUGUGAGAGUGGAAAGUUCACACUGUGACGGUAUCUUACCAGAAAGGGACGGCUAACUACGUG